CGACGCUCGUCUCGGAGAUUAAGGCAUGCGUGUGUGAGUAUGGAUGUGACUCUUGAAACCUGCGAAUGGCUCAUCAUAUCAGUUAUGGUUUAUUUGGUGAAGGAUACUAAUUGGAUAACCGUAGUAAUUCUAGGGCUAAUACAUGAGUAAAGUCCCAUUGGGAUGUGUUUAUUAGAAUGAAAACCAUAUGCUUCGGCAUGAUAGUGAGUAAUAGUAACCUAUCGUAUCGCAUGCUUAAAGUAGCGAUGAGUCUUUCAAGUUUCUGCCCUAUCAGCUUUCGAUGGUAGCAUAUGGGUCUACCAUG
rnacentral:rRNA from 1 species